rnacentral:lncRNA from 1 species
UUCCAGCUGUGGAUCCUAGGACCCAGACAGAAGUGCAGAUAAAGUCUGACUUUUCAGCUUCUAGCUCCAUGAGUCCCAGGCCUUACCUAUGUGUAAAGCAGGCAGUAUAUGACCUUGCAACAUUUAGCAAACCUGGUAUCUAAAUUAUAUGAUUUAGACAACCUAUUUGCAUUUUGAUGACACUUGCCUUUUACUAAUAAUCCUUCAGACUAUUUUUAUUUCUUCAAGUCAUGUGAACUAAAACAUUUGAUUGAAGCACUUAUUUUUCUUUAAGCCAAUCAAUCAGAGCUCUUUUUAUAGACAUCACACACAGCACAUAUAUAGCAACACUAAG